UACGUGGGGGGCAAGCGUUGUUCGGAAUUACUGGGCGUAAAGGGCUCGUAGGCGGCCAACUAAGUCAGACGUGAAAUCCCUCGGCUUAACCGGGGAACUGCGUCUGAUACUGGAUGGCUUGAGUUUGGGAGAGGGAUGCGGAAUUCCAGGUGUAGCGGUGAAAUGCGUAGAUAUCGGGAGGAACACCGGUGGCGAAGGCGGUUCUCUGGGCCUGUACUGACGCUGAGGAGCGAAAGCGUGGGGAGCGAACAGG
rnacentral:rRNA from 1 species